GACGAACGCUGGCGGCGUGCUUAACACAUGCAAGUCGAACGGAAAGGCCCUGCUUUUGUGGGGUGCUCGAGUGGCGAACGGGUGAGUAACACGUGAGUAACCUGCCCUUGACUUUGGGAUGACUUCAGGAAACUGGGGCUAAUACCGGAUAGGAGCUCCUGCUGCAUGGUGGGGGUUGGAAAGUUUCGGCGGUUGGGGAUGGACUCGCGGCUUAUCAGCUUGUUGGUGGGGUAGUGGCUUACCAAGGCUUUGACGGGUAGCCGGCCUGAGAGGGUGACCGGCCACAUUGGGACUGAGAUACGGCCCAGACUCCUACGGGAGGCAGCAGUGGGGAAUAUUGCACAAUGGGCGGAAGCCUGAUGCAGCAACGCCGCGUGCGGGAUGACGGCCUUCGGGCUGUAAACCGCUUUCGCCUGUGACGAAGCGUGAGUGACGGUAAUGGGUAAAGAAGCACCGGCUAACUACGUG
rnacentral:rRNA from 1 species